rnacentral:rRNA from 1 species
GUGCCAGCCGCCGCGGUAAUACGUAGGUGGCGAGCGUUGUCCGGAAUUACUGGGUGUAAAGGGUGCGUAGGCGGGCAGGCAAGUUGGAUGUGAAAUACCGGGGCUUAACUCCGGGGCUGCAUCCAAAACUGCAUGUCUUGAGUGAAGUAGAGGCAAGCGGAAUUCCCAGUGUAGCGGUGAAAUGCGUAGAGAUUGGGAGGAACACCAGUGGCGAAGGCGGCUUGCUGGGCUUUAACUGACGCUGAUGCACGAAAGCAUGGGGAGCAAACAGGAUUAGAUACCCUGGUAGUCCAUGCUGUAAACGAUGGAUACUAGGUGUGGGGGGACUGACCCCCUCCGUGCCGGAGUUAACACAAUAAGUAUCCCACCUGGGGAGUACGGCCGCAAGGUUGAAACUCAAAUAAAUUGACGG